rnacentral:tRNA from 1 species
UGGCCCCGUGGUGUAGUGGAUAAACAUGCUGCCCUGUCACGGCAGAGAUCAGGGGUUCGAAUCCCCUCGGGGUCGG